rnacentral:rRNA from 1 species
GAUGAACGCUGGCGGCGUGCCUAAUACAUGCAAGUCGAGCGAAGCGGGGACGGGUGAGUAACACGUGGAUAACCUCCUAUAAGACUGGGAUAACCUCGGGAAACCGGUGCUAAACCGGACACUUUUCGCUGGAUCCGCGCUGCAUUAGCUAGUUGGUAAGGUAACGGCUUACCAAGGCCACGAUGCAUAGCCGAUCUGAGAGGAUGAUCGGCCACACUGGAACUGAGACACGGUCCAGACUCCUACGGGAGGCAGCAGUAGGGAAUCUUCCACAAUGGGCGAAAGCCUGACGCAGCAACGCCGCGUGAGUGAAGAAGGUCUUCGGAUCGUAAAACUCUGUAAGUAGGGAAGCGGUACCUAAACAGAAAGCCCCGGCUAACUACGUGCCAGCAGCCGCGGUAAUAC